ensembl:snRNA U1 U1 spliceosomal RNA
AAAACAAAGUAAAAGGGGAGAUACCAUGAUCAUGAAGGUUUUCCUGGGGCGAGGCUUAUCUAUUGCACUCCGGAUAUGCUGACCCCUGAGAUUUCCCCAAACGUGAGAACUUUGACUGUAUAAUUUGUGGUAGUGGAGGACUGCAUAUAUAUUUUCCCCUG